GGAAAGGCUGUCUGCAAACAGGUGAUCUCAGAAGGGGGUUUGUGCCUCUCUAGGAAGGAAGCCUCAUUGUGGACAUCUGGGAGCAGGUACAUCCCAGCCUUCUUGCACAUAGAAACACUACACAGCACUUCAGCUGUAUGUUUGGGGGCCAUUUUAAACAGCAAAAUCAUCAACAGGAAGCAGAAAAUUGUAAAAAUUGUGGCACUAAAUAGACCAUGUAAAGGACACAUGUUUGCAAUAAGAAAGCUGAAACAAGAAGGGGGAGUGUCACCUUAUUUGAUCCAGCUAGAAACUCAGGUGCUGGUAUUCCAGCAACACUCAGGCGGCUGCUCCAGGAGGCUGCAGAGGGGUCCUUUUUAGCCGUCAACAAAACUGGCUAUGGUCACGCCCAUUGGGAAACUCAUUGCUGCCUUCAAGGACUCAGAAGCUGUAGGAAUAUUCAGGCACAGACACCAGACCCAGCUUCAUCUCUAACUUGUGGCAAAGGACAGUACAUCCUGGGAUGGGACCCUAUGCUCCCCUAUGCCAUUUAGACAGAGCCUGGGGAGAGUGACUUCCCAGGGUAUCCAUGUUGGAAUCUCUCAUUUGAUUCUUAUUCAAAUUUAGGUUCUGUCAAUAGAAGAUACUAAAGAAAGAAAGCCAGGAGAAGAAAAGGGACUUCUUUCUUCAAGGUCUAAGCUGUUCUAAUAGCAUUAUUCUGGGAAUGGCAUCUUCCACUCCUCCUAGUACAAAGAACCUGCUUCCUCAUACCCCGUCAAGGAACUGCAGCAUCCAGGUGAUGGCCACAGUGGCAGAACCUAGGAAGCCAAGAAGAAACCAGAGAAUGGAGACACAUGGCAGCAAUGGCAAGUCAUCAGACCCAGGAUUUCCCAAAGAACACUGGUCCAGGAAGAUGCUCUGUGAAAAAGUGUUCCCUGGUCGGAGAAAUUUGUGAAACACUUUGCAUAAUACUUAAAAGAAUGUAUGGCACAUCAAAGAUCUUAUAACAGUCUCCGCAGGAAGCAGCUGCAGUCAUUAGCCAUAGGACAGACUAAACACACAAUCUGCAUGGAAGGAGGCCUGGAUCAGCUUGGUCUUUCAGAUCUCUAAUCUCAGGCACAGGAAAGCACCAUCAACAGCACCCUUUGUAUAUAUACAUAAAGGUAACAUAUUUUAUCAUUUAAAGGGAUUUGAGAAAUUGAAGAGGCCCAACUCUUUUUCUGCCUUCUUUGGUUUGAGGCUUAGAUUGCUUAAGGGGCUUGCCCAGGAUCACAUAUCUUGUAAGAGACAGAGCAAGGAUUCAAAGCCAGUGCUGGCUUCUGUGUCUCCAUUCUUUCCAUUCUCCUCCAGUGGCUCUUUUGGGAAGCUGAGGGAGGAACAGCAGCAGAAUUGGGUGGCACCUGCCCAUGCCCAUCAUGC
rnacentral:lncRNA from 1 species